UGCAGAGGAGGAACAUGAAGUACAAACCAAGAGAAAACGCAUUCGAAGAAAGAAACUAAAGAACAAUUUACAAGAUUCUAAUGUUUUACAUGGAGAACAAGUAGAAUCUGGAAUGCAGGAGACUCUUCAAGAUUAUUUACAGCUGCAGCAGAUAGGCAGCUCCAAAAUCAGCAAAAACAAAAGGAGAAAAAUGAAAAAGAAGCGACAGAAGGAAAAAAUGAGAGCAGCUGGCUUGCUAACAAAAACUACCGGUGUGGAUUUUACAUAUCAGCCUGACAAAAGCAACAGAGAAGGAGCAGCAGACUUAAAAGACACAGAUGAAAAGGCAGAUAGCAUUCUGGAUUUCUUGCAGGCAACACAGCAAAUUUAUUUUGCUGACAAUAAAUCAAAAUGCACAGAUUCUACUGUAAAUUCAGCUGCUCAAGGGAUUUUACAGUGUCUUGAAUCUCGCAACAUAUCUUCUUCAGAUCUAACUCUUCUACAUCAGAUGAAAUCCCUUAUCUUGCUACAGGAUAUUGACAGACUGAAGGAUGCUUUGAAACAAUUCCAAGAACAUUCCGUGAUGCCUCCUGAUCAUACCAAGUUCAUCAUUACUCUGUUUCACUACUGGAUUACAGAUAUCCUUCCUGCAAGGAACAGGAAAUAAAGCCUUGCUUAUGUCCAUAUGUGCAGGGUUAAAAUUUAAUAUACAAGCACUUAGUCAAGUAGUAAUUAUUCAGAAAGAACAGUGCCAAUAUACUUUCUACAUCUUCAGGUGUCCGGUCCACUUUCUCAAUAAUUUGCAAGGCUUCUCCUCUACUGGAUGUGUAAGGUAGCUCAGCUCAGCCCUCUUCUGCAGAGUGAAAAGCAGUCUCAAACUACUUGGCAUGUGAUGUGUGAUGGAAGUCUGAACAUGGCCAGGUCCUGGGAAGCAGCUGGAAACAAUGACUUACCAAGGUGAGGUGAAUGGGACAGAAGCAGAAAUGGAACUGUGCAUGUGCAAGUCUGGUAUUUCCCCUGCAGGUAAUGAUUCCCAGGUCUGUUUUGUUCUGUUUAGCAACAUUCUUGUACUUUCAGAUGAGAGUGGUGAGAAACUUGGAAGGUGAAAGUCACAAAGUUGAGAUGCCAUUGAGCAAGUAUCUCUAAGACGAUAGUCUUUUGAAUAACAACUCAGGGUCCUUCAUCAACCUUAAUGCAGAGCUGUCCAGGGUUGAUCCAAAUCAUAGGAUUUAGUUAUUCACAAAUCAUUAAUGCUUUGUACUGCAGGCUUUUGAGUAGGAUUUUUUCUGUUUGAAGCCAAGAAAUCUUUGUUACCUUCUUUUUUUCUGAGUCCCUCAAUUUGUUGUUGUUAUUUUUUGUGAAUAUACAGGCUAAGUCAUCUGAAAACCUACCCAAUAAAGGCAUUCUACACACAGUUUCUGUUCCUUCUCUUCUCUAGUAUUAAAUCUGAAUCUGUGGACCUGGAUGUUAUCUCAGUGCAUGAAAUUGUGUAUUUGCACUGCCAUCCAUUAUGCCCUGCAGGAGUAUUAACUUUCAUCCCCAGUCUGGCAGUGUGUACUUGUGAGUGAGCAAGAGUCAUUGCAGCUGAGCAUUCUGUUCUGUGCAGAGCCCUCACACUGUGGAAAUAACUGCAUUCCAACUCUCAGUUCAAUAGCAUUGUGCAGCAGGAUAUUACUGUAUAACUGUCAGUGUUGCUUUGGUAUAGAAGCUUCCUCCAGGCACCCACAAGACAGAUGGCUGUAUCAUUCCAUAGCCAUUCAACUCUGUAUUGCAAUUGGAAAGAAAUACAAACAAAAAAAAUUCUAACUAUCUCUACUAAGCAAUUUUACAGCUGUCUAUCUGAAAUUAAAGCAUCCUCUCGUUUGCUUUGCUUUUUUGUUGUGAUACUUCUUUUUUUUUUUUUUCCAAGUACAACACUGUGAGUAAGUAAACUUCCACUGAGCUUUUAAUGCUCACAAAAACGUAGGACACUAGGAUCCAAGAUCCAUGCUUCAAACUGUAGGAGAUCAAGCACAAGAAGAUUCUGAAAAACAGCGUAAAUUGAACACUUUCUAUAGGCCAGUGUAAAAAGCAGUCUCUUGUAGCAAAGGACUUUUGUCCUUUGAAGUUGAGAAUAACUUCCUUGGUACUGAACAGACCAAGCAGAGGUGAAAUGUUAAUAGACCUGCUGCUCAUCAAUGUGGAGGAGACUGUUAAUGUGGUUAAGAUGGAGGCAGCCUGGGUUGCAGUGACCAUGCUCUGAUUGAGUUCAUGAUUGUGAAGAAGAUGGGCCUGGCAAAAAGCAGAGUCAGGACCCUGAAGUUCAGGAGAGUGAACUUCCAGUUGUAUGAGGAAUUACUGGGUGAUCUCCCAGGGAGAUUGUCCUUGGGGACAUCAGAAUGGAAUAGAGCUGCCAGAUGUUUAAGGACACCUUUCUGACUGCAUAAGAGCUCUUCCAUCCCCCAGCAUAAGAAAUCAAGGAGAGGAGGCAGGAAACUGGCAUGGCUGAGCAAGGACCUGCUGGUUAAAUUGAGGAAAAAGAAGGAAAAGUACAGGCAAUGGAAGCAGGGAUGGGUGGCUUGGAAGAAUUCAAGGAUGUCAUACAAGAAAUAUGCAGAGCUGUUGGAGGACCACAAUGAUGAUCAGAGGGCUGGAGCAUUUCUCCUCUGAAGAAAACUUGAGGGAACUGGUCUUGUUUUACUUGGAGAAGGGAAAACUCCGGGGAGAUCUUAUUGUGGCUUUCCAGUACCUGAGGAGAGCUUCUAAGCAGAAGAGAGACUGACUUUUUACAUUGUCUUAUAGUGAUAAGACAAGGAGGAAUGCCUUUAAACUAAAAGAGGGGAUAUCUGAGAGCAGCUCUUAGAGGAUGGUGUGGCACUGGCUCACGUUGCCCAGGGAAGUUAUGGAGGUGUUGGAUAGAGUCCUGGGCAGCCUGAUUUAGUGGUUGGUGCAUGUUAUUAAAAACACAGAUUCACCAUACACAUUUGAACUGUUCUUUUAUUUGCUCUGCAGUCAAAUGAUUUGGUUGCUUUCUUGACCCCUUACUGAGCUGGCAUUUUCAUAGAAAUGCUAUUUCAUUUUCUGAUAUUCUUAAUUAGCCUACGUAGCUGUUUGUACAGCUUUGCUAUGCCUUACGUAGAAUUUUGUCUGCCAUUUUGUCACAAGUUGUUCAUGAUCAAGCUGUGCUUCUGCAGCUCUGCACAGUCAGCUUUCAGUAGUCAUCACUGUAAUAAGCAUAGUGGGAUCAGCAGUCUUUGUUCUCCCAUUAUUCAUCACCUUUUUAAGGUCAUUCAGAACUUUGCUGAGCAGCACAGAUCUCGGCACAAAAUCCAAUAGGAUUGCAUUGGUGAUUUCCUUCCAGUGGGACUCUUGCAUUCCUGCUUUUUUUUUGUGUCUUUUAAUUGCUUAUUCAUACAAAUGAGGAUCUUUUUAGCCCAUGUGACCUCCUUUUACAAGUUGUUUUGUUUUGUUUUGUUUUCAAUUUAAAAAAAUCCAGCUUAGUACACAGCUUAACCACUUAUUAUAAAGGCAGUGGGCUUGUGAAAUGUGUUUUCCCUUUGCAGAAGUUUUAUGGACUGUUGCACAAUAUAUUUUCUCAUGUGUCUGCUCAUUCUUUUUCUUGCAGUGGUUACUACUGAUUUGCUGAACAAAGACAUCAGGUGUGGUGGUCUUAUAGAACCAUGGAAUCAUGAGUUGGAAGGUACCCACAAAGGUCAUCAUGUCCAACUCUGGUUUCGUAUAGGACCACAAAGGGAAAAAUCCUUUUCUGGACCUGUUGGCAGUGCUGUGCCUGUAGUUCCUCGGAUCACCUCUGGAUCCCUUUGUUAAAAUGAUCCAUUUUACCACCAUGCAAGCCUCUGAUACUGACACAAUUCCCAGAGAUUACACAUUGCAGCUAGCAGUUGUGUUAUUUCAUCUCUCAGUUAGUUUAGAGCUGUUAGGUGAAUACUGUCUGGUCCUAGUGAUCCUUAGCAUUGUGUCAUGGGAGAUACAAUCUCUGAAGAGAGCAAUCAGUCCUGAGUCCAUUGCGUCAUGUUUAAAUGCAAGCGUUCACUACUGUUCCCCUCUUGUUUUGUUUUCCACCUCUAGGUAAUUUAACUUCUGUUUUAAUCAUUUCUGUUUGGCCUCACAGACAGACAGCCACAACACUUAAUCAGAAUAAAGACUGCAUAAUGAAAAAAAUAAACAUUGUAGAAAUGCUACUCCUUUGAUUAAUGAAUUUUUCAUGCUUUACCUCCUGCAUGGAUUGUUUUACACUCUACUGAUGCUGAUGAAAGAAUUUUCCAGUGUUCACCUAGAGAGUUCACAACAGAAGAAAUGUACCUUUACUCAGGAUUAUGCCUAAAAAUAGGUUACUGAUCCUGAUAAGUAGCCACAACUGUGCUGCCGCAAUGCCAUUCCAGAAAUAAUAGAAGUCUUAUUAAAGGAUUAGAGCAUUUAAAUAGGAAUACAGAUAUCAUGGAUGGAAACUGUAUGUAGUUGGCAAUGUGAGGGCAAUUACAAGGAAACAAAACAAGGGAAUGUGUCAGAAACUGCAUGAGAACAUAAAUUGAACUCAAAAAGUUUCCACUAAAUCCAUGUAAUUUGACUUAUAACUUUGAAGCAUUUUAUAUCAUUCUUGGAAGGCUACAGUAAUUUUUAUCUUACUGAAUUGCAAUUUUAAGAUUUACAGGACAAUUUACAGCCCUCUUUUGUUUUACAUAGGCUAAUCCAUUAGCCUGUUGCAUUGGAAACAUGCAGCAUGGAAAUAUACAGCAUCCAGGCUUUUAUAUCUACCAGAAUGGGUCAGAGUAUUUACAUUUUCCAAAUUAGAAACUAUAUGAGUGAUACAAAUCUAGAUAUCCAUUACUAGAUAUCCAUUACUGCCAAAUGUGAAGAACAUCAGACCACUAAGGAAAACUUUAGACAAAUUGUUUAGAUACAUGGGUCUAUGUGUGUCCAAUCUUUUGGCUUGCCUGGGCCACACUGAGGAUCGUCUUGGAUUGCAUAUGAAUUAUAUAAUGUAGUUAAUAUAUAUAAGUAACAAAAUGUCUUUAAUUUAUUUUUUUAUUAAAAUGUUUGAAAAAGAGGGCAAGAAAAUCAUAAAACUAGUGGGAUGGGCAUGUAUGAUUUAGAACUUCUUGAUGUUCUGAUGCAUUUCUUUACACAGUAAUGGAAAUUUUUUAUAAAGUUCUGCAUUUUAGAAUAGCUCAAGAUUCACUGUUACUGUGAUAGAACAUGCCUCUUACAAGGAUAUUCUUCAGGCUUUAGCAGGUAGGUCAGGUGCUUUGAAGUUUGAGUUUGAAGAAAAGCAAAAAAAAACGAACAAAAAAAACCCUUACAAACUGUCUUUUUAGGAUUUAUGACUCAAUUUGUAAAACCAUAUAGAAUACAAUAACCCACACAUUUUGAAUAUCUGAAAAUAGUGUUUGAAAAGAACAGAGAAGUACCAGUGUAAUGGUUGACUGGAGUUGUGUUCUUCUGUUGUAAAUCAGUGCUUUAGAAGCAGAACUAAAAUUAUGGUUGUGAUUUGAAUGUAUCCAUAUUAUCUUAGAACAAAACCUUUUCCAUUCUGAAGUCCUAGUACUCCAAACAUCCUUACUGUAGAUAUGUAGAUGGCAGGGUAUGGACUAAGUACAGGGCUUAUUGUAUAUUAGGGUCUUUCUCAUACGUAAAAUAUGAUAGUUCUUCACAGGCCUCCAUUUGCAGGCAUCACAGCAGAUCUCAUGGCCUUCUAAACCUCAACUAAUACACCUAAAUACUUCUGGAAUGACAUGCCAGAAGGCUAUUUCUUAAGAUUUCUCAUUUGUGUGAUUCAUUUCGAAAACUUGACAUAUGUGUAAUAGGAUGUCAGCGUGGGAUGGAGAGGAGGAGGGAAAAGAGCCCUGCUCAGUAACUGCACAUGCAUCUGCCCAUAUGCACAGAUUUACUGAUGAGAAAACUUCUCAGCAGCAGUAUAGAACUGGUAGGAAUGAACUGUUCAGUUUCUUACAAAUGGUUCAAAUUCCAAAAGCUCUAGGCUGUGUGUGUACGUGUGUUGGAUAAGUAACAAUCCAGCAUGUCAGUAUAGCUGUUUGCUGUGUAUCAAGCUGCAUAAGAGGUCUGGAACUCGAUGUGAUGGAGCCACUCAUAAUCUGAGAUCCUCUGCAGAUGGAGCGAGGGAAGUCUGUGAGACCAUGGAAUCUGACAGUCAAGUUUUCUAUCGCAUCAGCCACAGAGGGAACAAAGGACACAGUGUGAAGAGUUCUUACCACAGAUUGUAAUAGAUUUUCUCAUAUUGUUUCUCACAGUGACAAACACCCACUGGGCACUGGCUAGCCAGAAGCACCUGUUCAGCCUGGCACACGAGCCAAUAUGUGGUGGGUGUCUUGAGGCCCUUAAAUUCAGUCCUUCUCGGUAAUUGACUUCUCUAUGUGUAGUGGGCCAAUCCAUGAACCUCAGUGUUGCUCUGCCUCUUUGAAGACCUCCACCGAGUGAGGGAAAUUGGAGUUGAAAUACUGAGAUCCACUAGCUGGGAGCUAAGCAGAAAGAUGCUGGAUGGGAGGUUCUCCCUGUCUGAACACCGUGCCCCAGGAAGCCCUUCUCCCCACUGCCAUUCUCUGAACUAAAAAAAUCACACAGGGAGUGAAAUUCAACAAAGACUUAGAAAUAAUGGUUAUCCCUCUGCGGAGAAUGACACCUGGGUAUAUAAGGUUGCUGCAGACUCAAGCUGCAGGAAAAAUAGUUAUCAACUCAUCAGACGUACUGCUGCAACGGGCAGCCUUGCUCCUGGGCACGCUUGGGAUCAGUCUCUCCAGCUACAGCACACACCAGCUGGCUCAACAGAAGAGACUUUCCGUGACCCGUUAAGCUGUGCUGAGAUGUGAUCUGAGAAGUAAAUGCUUGUGUCAGUAAUGCUGACAAGAAACUUUUCUGUCUCCGUUGCUGGUGUGGAGGUAAUGAGACACGUUACAGCCUCGAUUUCUACAUGCAGAGUUAAAAAGAUGAAAGAAUACAGACUUCUUCAGGGAAGAAAAAAGCAUCAUGACUAAUGGAAAUCACAUUUCCAGGAACUUGUAAAUACAGUGGAUCUUGGUGGUCUCGUGAGGUCCCUUCCAACCCCUGCAAUUCUGUGAUUCCGUGAUUUUGUUUGUUAUCCAGUGUAUACAUAGAGAGACAUCCAAAUCAGAGUAGAUAUAAACAGAAGGAUGAGGGUGCCAUGCUUAUUUAGCAUCACCUUGCUACAGCUUUUGCAAAUUGACUCCUAUCCAAAGACUGGUUUUGAAAAGGAAAGUCGGAAACAAUACAUUCCUCAUAAGAGUCAAACUGGAUAAAGAGAAUCUUUCAUAGGCUGUUUGUACAUUUAUAUCUAACUAGAAAUACACAUCUGUGUGAGGAAUCGUGCACUCUAACUGUUAAUAUUGAAUCUUAAACUUUUUAAAAUACCUUUUGUAUAGAAAUGUGUGUGUGUUGUAGCACAUGCUGAUUUCUUUGUGCAACAGCAGAGAUGGCUGAAGGCUCUGCCAUCACUACACUGCUGGAAAGGAACCGUGACAGCAGUCCAGAUGACUUUGUAAUCCUGUACAGAAACACUCUACUCUAGAAAGGAUCAGUAAAAAUUUGGGGCUGAGUUUUCUUGUAGAGCUAAACAUCUGAUUGUAUUCCUCUGCAGAAACCCCUCAUCUCAAAAUAUACGUGCUGAUUAAAAUAGAGAUUGACCUUCCUUCCUUUUCCCCUGUUUUCUUGUUCUUCUUACUCAGUAUAAUAGCUUAUUCAGGAAUGUUCUGUUACUUUUGGAUAGCAUUUUUCCAACUGUUUCCAAUGCUCUGUGUAAACAUGGCUUUGUAGACUCUUGCAUGCAUAUGUUACUGUUUGAUAUCCUUUGUUCUCACUUAAUAAAUGCAAAUAUAUUUUUUCAGUGUUUAAAUUUGUUUCUUCUGUCAACAGUGUUUAUAUUCAACCACUAAGGGGCAUCCUUCACAGCUGAAUGUUCUGAAGUCUUCAGAUUGUUCAGCACAACAUUACAAACCAUACAUGGAAUCAGGUUGAAGUUCUUACUUGUCCUUUUCAGAAUUGUUCUGGCUCCUAUUUCCUAUUGUCAGCCCCUCCAAGAGAUGUCUGUCUUUCUCCUACCACUGCAGUUAAAUUGAAGAAGAUUAGAAAUAGUUUGUGUCUUAGUAAACUGUAGUAAAAUAUCUAUCUCCAUCUUCUGUUUAUAUUUAACAUUAAAAGUCAUGUAAUGGAAUAUUCCAUCUUCUGCCUCUCCCUACAAGAAAUUAUUUUAGAAAAGGCUGUAUUGACAAAAAUAAGUGACAUAUCUGAAAAGUGUUCAAUCCCAUUUACUGAAGAUACUAAUGGGACAUCUUCCUCCCAUAUGAGAUCUGUAUGGCUUUCUAAUCAAAGCACGUGAUCUUUAUGAACUGUUUUUAUUGACUAUUUUCCUGCUCCUAUGCAAAGUGAAUACAAAAUUAGUAGCUGUUAUCAGUUCCGUUCCUAUGCUAGUAUGAACUAUUCUGUUAGAUAAAAGCUAAGUAUAAUAACAUGAUGCAAUUUUUAAAUAUAGUCAGUCACAGUAUAAUUUUCAGAAG